CGCUGUUGCUGUUAAAGGGUUCGUAGUUGAAUUAGGGGCUGUUGAGUAAACGGCGGAGAUUCGCUCCUUCGGAGGUUUCAGCCCGUCGCACUUGCAGCUCGAGAACAUUGGAAACGAACAGCACGGAAACGCAUCUUCCUGAACUUCGCACGCAAUGCGUGCCCAGGGGACGUCCGUGAUACUUACUGUGACAAAUGAAGUGUGACCAAAGCAGUCAAACGACAUGAAUUAGAAAGCAUGGGAUAACAAAGGAGCAGCCUGCGGGCUUCCGUUUCGGCUUUUGUUGGUUUUAAACGUCUGUGGGAGAUUAUGGGGUCGCAAGCCCAGCUGUCACGGACAUCGUCCGCCAGUCUUCUAGCUAGGCCUCGCGCCUUCUAGACUUGUGAUUCCAGGAAUGAAGGAGGGUUGUUCGGGGGAGAACGUACU
rnacentral:rRNA from 1 species